CAAUAAGUAUUAUGUUUCUCUUAUAUAAAACUAUAUAUAAAAUAUCAAAGUAUAAUUCUAAAAAGCAGAUAUACUUCCGCUUGGCUCAAGUAGAGGGUAUUAAAAGGUUCAAUGGCUAGUACGAAAUUCCAUGGAAUUGUUUACAUUAACUAAACCCAUUGAUAAGGUCCCAUUGCAAUGGAACUUUGGCGAUGGAACCACAACGUAAAAAAAAUAUUAUAGCCAACAUUUUCGGAAAUCUGCAAAAUUCGGUGAAAAUAUAAUAAGCAACAAAUGAAGAACUUUCCCAAUUAAAACUUAUGUGUUGUUUACAGUUUGACAAGAGUUUUCAAAACAAUACGAAACCUUGACAGUUUCGAAUGAUUCAAAUCAUCUACGUCCGAAAAGUCGCAGCUUAAAUACUCUUCUUCAAGACCUUGGGAAUUUUCAUAUAGCAAAUAUAUUUUAAAAUCAUGUAAGACAUGAAAUUGCUCUAUUAAAUUUGGCAUAUUUGACAACAAGAAUCGGA